AGUUGGGGAGAGUAAAGUGAAAAGUUGAUUAGAAACUUGGAAAAGUGAGUUUUUAUGGAAGGGUAAAAAUAUGAAAAGAAACAAGAAAAAGAAAUCACCCUUGAAACCAUAGAGCAAAGAAAAAAAAAGAAAAAAAAAGAAAAAAAAAAGAAAGCAAUGAAAAUGCUCAUGGUUGUGUGGAUUUGAAAAGAAAAAGAAAAA
rnacentral:lncRNA from 1 species